rnacentral:sRNA from 1 species
AAACAAACCAAAAAAAGAAAGAAAGAAAGAAAGACA